GGAGAGAUGUCCGAAUGGCUAAGGGGCCGGACUUGAAAUCCGGUGAAGCCGAAAGGUGUCGGGGUUCGAAUCCCCGUCUCUCCGCCA
rnacentral:tRNA from 1 species